rnacentral:rRNA from 1 species
AUUGAACGCUGGCGGCAGGCCUAACACAUGCAAGUCGAACGAGGGGCAGACGUGUGUGUAAUGUCUGGGAAACUGCCUGAUGGAGGGAGAUAACUACUGGAAACGGUAUCUAAUACCGCAUACCAUCGGAUGUGCACAGAUGGGAUUAGCUAGGAGGUGGGGUAAGGGCUCACAUAGGCGACGAUCCCUAGCUGGUCUGAGAGGAGGACCAGCCACACGUGAACUGAGACACGGUCCAGACUCCUACGGGAGGCAGCAGUGGGGAAUAUUGCACAAUGGGCGCAAGCCUGAUGCAGCCAUGCCGCGUGUAUGAAGAAGGCCUUCGGGUUGUAAAGUACUUUCAGCGGGGAGGCGUUACCCGCAGAAGAAGCACCGGCUAACUCCGUGCCAGCCGCCGCGGUAAUUC